UAGGGAAUCUUCCACAAUGGACGCAAGUCUGAUGGAGCAACGCCGCGUGAGUGAAGAAGGUUUUCGGAUCGUAAAGCUCUGUUGUUGGUGAAGAAGGAUAGAGGCAGUAACUGGUCUUUAUUUGACGGUAAUCAACCAGAAAGUCACGGCUAACUACGUGCCAGCAGCCGCGGUAAUACGUAGGUGGCAAGCGUUGUCCGGAUUUAUUGGGCGUAAAGCGAGCGCAGGCGGAAUGAUAAGUCUGAUGUGAAAGCCCACGGCUCAACCGUGGAACUGCAUCGGAAACUGUCAUUCUUGAGUGGAGAAGAGGAGAGUGGAAUUCCAUGUGUAGCGGUGGAAUGCGUAGAUAUAUGGAAGAACACCAGUGGCGAAGGCGGCUCUCUGGUCUGCAACUGACGCUGAGGCUCGAAAGCAUGGGUAGCGAACAGG
rnacentral:rRNA from 1 species